AGACAUUUGCCCUGGGGGGCGGCAAAAAAAGCUGCCCCCCAAUCACCCUGGCAAAUGCCUUGCCAGCCUCAGGGCCUCCCAGGCUGGCAGCGGCGGCACUUUCCAGGCGGGCGGCGAUGGAGCACUAAUCCUCCUGUUCAGCUUGCAUGCACCGCAGUGAUCCCGGAGCCGGAAUAUGACGUCAUUCUGGCCCCGACAUCACUACGCGGCGCACGAGGGUGCUGAACAGGAGGAUCAGUGCUCCCUCGCCGACUGCAGUCAAUGGCCGGCCGCUCAGCAGCCCCACUGGACUCCAGGGAAAGUGAUAAUCCACCCCAGCAUUCCCAAUGGCAAGGAGGCUGGGGGGAACUGAAUUUUUAAAAAAAUGUGAGUGCGUUAAUGUGUGUGUCUGUUAGUGAGUGUCAGUGUGUGUGUGUGUGUCUGUUAGUGUGUGUUUGUUAGUGAGAGUGUUUGUGUAUCUGUUAGUGAAUGUGUGUGUGUCUGCUAGUGACUAUGUGUCUGUUAGUGAGUGUGUAUAUCUGUUAGCUAGUGUAUGUGUGUCUGUCAGUGAAUGUGUGUGUCUGUCAGUGAGUGUGUUUGUGUAUUUAGAAGGCGGGGCGGGGGAGGCUGCCUGAGUUUUGCCAGGAUACACCACUGCGUGAAGAACCAAUUGUGAUUCCAACGCCAGCGAUGGCAAGUGGGAAAACUACCACUUAUACCUUCUGCCAAGGGAGAAGGAAGUAAAGUUAGUAUAACUCAAAGUAUAAAAAUAUGGUAAAAAAAAAAAAGGUAGCAUAAAAUUAAAAAGGUAGGAACAAGUGUAUAGAAAUAGGAGCUGGAAAAAACAGAGUUUUCAAGAUUAGUCAUGACUCUACAUAAUAAAAUAGAAAAAAAAGAUCAAAUUUAAUGGUGG